UACGUAGGGUGCGAGCGUUGUCCGGAAUUAUUGGGCGUAAAGAGCUCGUAGGCGGUCUGUCGCGUCGAUCGUGAAAACUUGGGGCUUAACCCUGAGCUUGCGGUCGAUACGGGCAUGACUGGAGUUCGGCAGGGGGAGACUGGAAUUCCUGUGUAGCGGUGAAAUGCGCAGAUAUCAGGAGGAACACCGGUGGCGAAGGCGGCAUCCUGGACCAACACUGACGCUGAUGCGCGAAAGCCAGGGGAGCAAACGGG
rnacentral:rRNA from 1 species